GCUCAGUAACACGUGGAUAACCUGCCCUAAGGAAGGGGAUAACCUCGGGAAACUGAGGAUAAUACCCUAUAGGAUACCGAUGCUGGAAUGCCCGGUAUCCCAAAGCUCCGGCGCCUUAGGAUGGAUCUGCGGCCGAUUAGGUCGUUGUUGGGGUAACGGCCCAACAAGCCGAUAAUCGGUACGGGUUGUGGGAGCAAGAGCCCGGAGUUGGAUUCUGAGACACGUAUCCAGGCCCUACGGGG
rnacentral:rRNA from 1 species